GCGUCUGAAUGGGACCCGGGAGGGGAGGCGGCUCGGUCCUUCGUGCCGUCCUCCCCGCUGGGAGGGGCAGCUCCAGCUCCGCUCGGCUCGCUCCGCCCGGCCACACCGGCUUUUUCCCCAUCAGGCGGUCCGAGUGCGGCUCCUCGCGAGCCUGCAAAGGAGCAGCAGGCGGUUCCUUUUCGGACGACCUGGAGCGAGGCCUGCGGGACUGCGCGCCCCGGCGGGCGGCGUGCGGCUCCCGGCAUGCGCGGCGGCUGCGUUCCCGCCGCCUCCGAGCUCGCCUGGGGCUGCCGCCCGCCUCCUGCCGGGCCCUCGGGCUCGCCCGGCACCGCGGGGCUUGAUCAGGGAGAAAUGAUAUCUUCAGGGAAAAGACUUCGAAAAAGUGCCUGAAGUGACACAACACAUGUUUUCUUCUGGUAUCUGGCUAAAGGUCUUACUCCUUCUCCCAGGCCAGAGUGCAGUGGUGUCAUCAUGGUUCACUGUAGCCUCCAUCUCUUGGGCUCAGGCAAUCCUCCCUCCUCAGUCUCCUGAGUAGUUGGGACCACAGGAAAUGAUCAGAGGCUCACCUGAACUAUUAUCCAUCCAAAAGUGGGAUUCAAAGAAGGAAGAGGGCCUAGAAAUGAGAAAGAAGCGAAAAAUAUGUUUGUUGAAAGGUCAACAUGGGUGUUUGGAAGAGCACAAAUACUGGAUCCUGGGAUGAAUUUGGACUAAGCACCUGCAGAUUUCCUUUUCAAUUGAAAUGAGAAUUUCUGUCUGUGUUCUUCAUGCUUGUUAUACUGGAAAAAGUUUGCUUACCUGGAGUGCAAUGGCAGGCUGGAGUGCAAUGGCACCGUCUCAGCUCACUGCAACCUCCACCUCCCAGAUUCAAGCAAUUCUCCUGCCUCAGCCUCCCAAAUAGCUGGGAUUAUAGGCAUCCACCACCAUGCCUGGGUAAUUUUUGUAUUUUAGUAGAGACGGGGUUUCACCAUGUUGACCAGGCUGGUUUUCUCUCAUUUAAUUAUAUUGCUUUGUAGCAGGAUGGGCUGCAGGCAAAACUCCUCAGACACCGGCUGAAAGAGGGAAGAGGCUUUAUUUAGCUGGGAACCUUGGCAGACUUGCAUCUCAAGAACCAAGCUCCCUGAAGAAAAAAUUCCUGGCCUUUUUGAGAGGUGAAGCGAGCUGGACUUCCUGGGUUGAGUGGGGACUUGCAGAACUUUUCUGUCUAGCUAGAGGAUUGCAAACGCACCAGUCAGCACUCUGUGUCUAGCUAAAGGAUUGUAAACACACCAAUCAGCACUGUGUAAAAAUGCACCAGUCAGCGCUCUGUGUCUAGCUAAAGGACUGUAGACGCACCAAUCAGCACUCUGUAAAAAUGCACCAAUCAGCACUCUGUGUCUAGCUAAAGGAUUGUAAACGCACCAAUCAGCACUCUAUAAAAGCGCACCAAUCAGCGCACUGUGUCUAGCUAAAGGAUUGUAAACGCACCAAUCAGCAUUCUGUGUCUAGCUAAAGGAUUGUAAACGCACCAAUCAGCACUCUGUAAAAAUGCACCAAUCAGCACUUGGCAUCUAGCUAAAGGAUUGUAAGUGCACCAAUCAACACUCCGCAAAAACACACCAAUCAUCACUCUGUGUCUAACUAAGGGAUUAAAUGCACCAAUCAGAACUCUGUAAAAAUGCACCAGUCAGCACUCUGUAAAAUGGACCAAUCAGCACUCUGUAAAAUGGACCAAUCAGCAGGACAUGGGUGGGGACAAAUAAGGGAAUAAAAGCUGGCCACCCCCCAGCCAGCAGCGGCAACCUGCUCAGGUCCCUUUCCACUCUGUGGAAGCUUUGUUCUUUCGCUUUUCACAGUAAAUCUUGCUGCUGCUGACUCUUUGGGUCCACACCACCUUUAAAAGUUGUAACACUCGCUGUGAAGGUCCGCAGCUUCAUUCUCGAAGUCAGUGAGACCAAGAAUCCACCAGAGGGAACCAAGUCUGGACACACUUUUAAGGGCUUACAACUCUAUGGGGGUCUACGUGAAAGAUAUCCAGCAAGUGAUCUAUAGGUAAUACACGUAGUUAGAGUGGGGGGUUAAUCUUUAACCUCAGGCCUGGUCAGUGGCACCGGUUGGUCUUGCCACUGACUUCAUUUCUGUUGUUUUUCAGCUUUUACUUCCUCCUUCUCUUCAGGGACAGGAAACAGUAAGAGAAAUGGCGUAUCUCCUCAGCUUAAGAUAGUACUUGCCAGGCAGGGUGGCUCACACCUGUAAUCCCAGCACUUUGGGAGGCUGAGGUGGGUGGAUCAUGAGGACAGGAGUUCAAGACCAUCCCGACCAACAUGGUGAAAACCCCAUCUCUACUAAAAAUACAAACAUUAGGUGGGCGUGGUGGCACGCGCAUGUAAUCCCAGCUACUCAGGAGGCUGAGGCAGGAGAAUUGCUUGAACCUGGGAGGCGAAGGUUGUAGUGAGCCGAGAUCGCGGCAUUGCACUCCAGCCUGGGCAACAGAACAAGACUCCAUCCCCCCACCAAAAAAAAAGUGCUUAUCUUGUCCAUAACUUAGCAGGAGUGUUUCAAUAUUACAUCCACGCUGUUUCCAUAUUAAACAGAUUCUUUGUGGUUGAGAUAAAUAUAUUUCAUUAUGCUAACAACGUAUUUGUAUACUCCUGUUAAGAACUUACAUCAAGUAUGAAUAUGGAAUUUUUCCAAUGUCUUUGAUAGCUUUUUUAGACAUGAGUAGUUAUGUGCUGCAUGACGAUGUUUUGGUAACAAUGGACCAUGUAUACCGUGGUGGUCCCAUAAGAUUAUAAUGGAGCUGAAAAACUCCUAUCACCUAGUGCUAUCAUAGCCAUCAUAACACAAUGCAUUACUCACGUGUUUGUGAAGAUGUUGGUGUAAAGAAACCUACAGAACUGCCGGUCAUCUAAAAGUAUAGCACAUACAAUCAUGCACAGCACAUAAUGAAAGGCUUGAUAAUAAAGGGAUAUGUUAUUGGCUUAUGUAUUUACUAUCCUAUAUUUUUCAUUGUUAUUUUUGAGUGUACUCCUGCUUUGCGGUGUCUCACGCCUGUAAUUCUAUCACUUGGGGAGGCCAAAGCCGGCGGAUCACUUGAGGUCAGAAGUUUGAGCCUGACCUGGCCAACAUGGUGAAACUCCGUCUCUAUUUAAAAUACAAAAAUUAGCCAGGUAUAGUGGCGAAUGCCUGUAGUCCCAGCUACUUGGGAGGCUGUGGCAGGAGAAUCGCUUGAACCCAGGAGGUGGAGGUUGCAGUGAGCUGAGAUCACACCAUUGCACUCCAGCCUGGGCAACAGAGCAAGACUGCAUCACAAAAAAAAGGAAAGAAAGCUGUAGAAUAGCCUCAGGCAGGACCUUUAGGAGUUAUUCCAGAAGAAGGCAUGUUAUUACAGGAGAUGACAAGCUGUAGGAGUGGAAGGCAGUGAUACCGAUCAUCCUGGCCCUGUGUAGGCCUAGGCUAAUGUGUGUGUUUGUCUUAGUUUUUAGCAAAAAAUGUUUUAAAAGUAAAAACAUAAAAAAUAAAAAUUUUAAAAAACAUGAAAAAGCUUAUAAAUAUGUUUGCACAGCUAUGCAAUGUUUUCAUGUUUUAAGCUUUUAUUACAAAAAAGUUUAAAAAAUUAAACUCGAUAAAGUAAGUUACAGUAGCCAAAGGUUAAUUUAUUAUUGAAGAAAGAAAAAUUAUUGUUUAUACAUUUAGCAUAGCCUGCGUGUACAGUGUUUAUAAAGUCUAUACCCAUGCCCAGUAAUGUCCUGGGCCCUCACACUCACUCCCCACUCACUCGCUCACUCACCCAGAGCCACUUCCAGUCCUGCAAGCUCCAUCCAUGGUGAGUGCUCUGUGAAGGCGUUCGUUCUUUAUCUUUUGUACCAUAUUUUUACUGUACCUUUUCUAUGUUUAGCUAUAUUUAGAUAUACAAAUACUUAGCAUUGUAUUACAGUUGCUUACAGUAUUGAGCACAGUCACAUGUUGCACAGGUUUGUAGUCUAGGAGCAGUAGGCCAUACCUAUAGGCCAGACCAUAGAUCCUAGGUGUGUAGAAGGCUCUACCAUCUAGGUUUGCGUAGGUACAUGCUAUGAUGUUUGCACAAUGACAAAAUUGCCUGACACAUUUCUCAGAGCAUAUCUCCAUCAUUAAGUGAUACAUAUCUGUAUAGAAUUUUUCUUCUUAUACCUAUUAAUAAUAACAAUAUAUUUCUGUAGAAAUAUACUUGGUUCAUUAACUAAACACUGGAAAUGUUACCUCUUUUUAUAUGCUCUGAAAAAAUUAAAAUAAGAUAUGGGAGUUGUCUUUUCUUUAAAGGUUUUACAGAAUUCCUCUGGAACUGCUGGAAUUUGAGGGGUCUUUUUUUUGACAAUUUCCUAUUUAUUUUAUGGUAAUUGAUCUGUUUAAAUUUUUUUCUCUUCUAAA
rnacentral:lncRNA from 1 species